CACUUAUAAAAAUGCACCUUAAAUUGGAUACUUGAUUCAUCCUUUCUCAAAGUUUAAAGAGCCCUCCUUGAUGUGAGCACAAGGGACCUCCAUGCUCCUACUUCUGCUGGUCUCCAUUUCACCAGGCGCCUCCCUCCGACUUCCAAUUGGCCACAAGCUUCGUCGCUCUCUCUCAAAGCAAUUUUGUGUGUGAGUAUAGUCAGAAGGCUCCAAAGGCAACAUCUGGGUCUGGUCACUGAAGACAGAUGGGCUCCUUCUACUUCUUCUCCCAUCCCCUGGAGGCCUCUGCCAGAGGCUCUGCGGUUUCUGCGGGGCCUGGAGAUCCACAUGUAAAAUCCCUGCUGUAACACAGUGCUUUGUGCUCCGGUGGAAAAACAGCGCUGCUGAAAGCCUCUACCCAUGUAUAAUUUAGCAACAUCACCUGGGGCCGCAGGCACAGUUUGGAGGACAAUGUCAUGGGUGCCUCGGGAUCCACACCUAACUGGGGCAUCUCAUGACAAUCGAGGGAAAGGAUAAUGUCUGCUUUGCUCCCUGAAUUGAUAUCUCUCUGCACUGGUGUCACAAUUACAACUGAAAGGGUGUGGCAGAUGCAUGCAACUCUCAGGGAACAGCCUGCAGCAGAACAUCUUGGCAGGGGGAGGACAAGAGCUGGCCAGACACUUCUGGAAGUUCUGGAAGGAGAUGCUGAAGCUCUACCCAUUCCACUGUAAAGGACAACACCAGGAAAUCCCAGUUAAUAUGGUUUAACCUCCUAAUCAUGCACCGACUAUCCCCCACCAUUGCAUGGGAGGCAGAGAAGAAUAAAACACUGUGCACAUGUGUCCAAAUAGAAUCAAGGGCACUUUUUAAUUGCUUUUUUUUUUUAAACUCAAUGUGUAGAGUAAGUUUUUCACUGGCCUGAUCAAAAGAAAACCAGGGACAGAAAACUAACUGGCUGUGCAAUGCAGACCCCUGCCUGAAGAAGGGACUUCAGGUGGGAAACUUUGCAGAAAGCCCUGUGCAAAGCUGGCUACAACUGCACCCCUCAGAGUAUGAGGAAAAAGGAAAAAAAACCACAACAAGUUCAAGUGAAGAGGAAAGGCCCCUUGAAGGCCUACCAGCCAGCUCCCAAGUGCUCUUCCUUAUAUGUCAAUAUCUUGGUGCUGUUGCAGGACAUUGGAGCAGGCUCAGUGUAACCUCACCCCUGCUGGCAAGAGGCUCCCUGGCCCCACCUCCAGACCCGCCCCAGGCAGGAAGAAGAGCACCCAGGUCUUGGGGCAUGCUGAUGGAAAGGCAGCAUUCCUAGAAUAGGAAAGCAACUGACUGAGAAGCCUCUGUCCCCUUGAAUUAGAGUUUAUUGGUAGGAAAUAAGAGGCUGAAGCCAACUGCGGGCUUCACAGUGAUCCUCACGCCCAGAUGGGCUGACCUAGGAGCAGUAUAGGCUCUACACACCAUUCUGCUGUCAAGUGGUCAAAAUGAACGCAUCAGAAGGUCAAAUUCUGGCUCGGCCUCCAAGUGCAGAGACAGCAUUAACUUCGAGAGUAUUGCUGGCAACCAUUAUAACCCUCUAAUUGCCUAUGCAAUGCACAAGAUUUUAAAAUAUAUGUAUUGCACAAACAAUAUUGUGAAACAACAGAAAUCAACUCUCUCAUCUUAAAAAAACCUUAAUACGAGGUUCCAGGAGGGGAUUUAAAAAAUGAUAUGGCUGUUCUUUGCUUCAGGCAAUAAACAUGCUACUGAAAACCUAUGUGUAAAUACAGUCUUAUGCCAACUAAGUCCUUCUUAAAAAUGCACCAGAAAACAGGCUCUGUUUUAAGCACUUAAUUGUAUUUGCUCAUUAAGUCUUCAGAAGCUCUGGAAGUAGAUUUUAUUAAGAUCUUCAUUUUGCAGGUAGGAAAUUGCAACACAGAAAUGUUCAGUAACUUGGACAAGGUUGCAGAGCUGAGUUGGAACAGGGUGCCCAGGCCUCUGAGCCCACAUCCCUAACCAUGGGCUACACUGCCUCCCAAUGGACUGAGAGUGAGUUAGUUCCCUGGCAAAACCUGCCCCUCCCAAGCAUGCUGUUUAUAAAGAUGGAUGAUCACACAUGGUCACAUUUAAUAUCAACAACAUCCCAUACUUAAAUCUUUGAAUGAAAAGAUAUGACUAUUUCCUGAUAAAGCAUCACACAGCUAAGACAAAGAGCUGAAUGCAUAAAGAAGUUUCCCCAUAUCCAUUCGCCUUUCUUUUCUUGAAAAGCCUCAAAUAGAUUUGGGCAGCCAUACAGCCAAUUAAAAAAAUACUUUCCUGCAGAGGAUCUACAAAAAAUGUCAGCUAACAUCAUACUUAAAGGUAAAGGCUGAGUGCUUUCCCCUUAAGUUCAAGUAGAAGAUGAGGAUUCUGUUAUCAGCACUUCCUUUCAACACCAAAAUGGAGAUUCUAGCCAGGGCAAUAAGGCAAGAAAAGGAAAUUAAAGGAGAUUAAAAAGGAAUAAGUAGGCCAGGCACAGUGGCUUAAACCUGCAAACCCAGCACUUUGGGAGGCCGAGGAGCUCAGAGGGCUGAGGUGGGAGGAUUGCUUGAGCCUGGGUAUACUGAGCCAAGAUCAUGCCAUUGCACUCUAGCCUGGGUGACACAGUGAGACCCUGUCUCAAAAAAACUCCAAAACAAACAAAAAGGAGUAAGUAAGACUGACUCCACUCAAAAAGACAUGAUUGUCUAUGUAGAAAAAUCUUAAGAAAUAUUUAUUUAUUUAUUUAUUUUUGAGACAGGGUCUCACUCCUGUCACCCAGGCUUGACUGCAGUGGCAUGAUCAUGGCUCACUGCAGCCUUGACCUCCUGGGUUCUUGCAAUCCUCCCAACCUCAGCCUUCUGGGUAGCCGGGACUACAGGUGCACAACACCAUGCAUGGCUAACUCUUCUGAAUUUUCAGUAGAGAUAGGGUCUUGCUGUGUUGCUGGAUCUGGUCUCAAACUCCUGGGCUCGAGUGAUCUGCCAGCAUUGGCCUCCCAAAGUUGCUGGAAUUACAGGUGUGAGCCACUGUGCCCAGCCUAAGAAAUAUAUAAUAAAGCUGUUAGAGAAAUAGGAGCACAGGAGAACCAAGGUGACAUCAUUUUAAAAUCAACUCCAUCUUAAAACUAGCAAGGCACAUUCCUUGCCAGUCAUGAACCAUGGUCAUAAGAUGUUUACAGUUGAGAAAACAGCUUAAAUGUACCUGAAAGAACACAAUCUUACAACAAAGGAAAGUCCAGAUGUCCCAAUAACCAUAACGAUAUAUGAUUUUAAGAUAAUUAUAUUUAUGCUUUGAGGUACUUAUUCAAUAAAAAAAACAAGGGGCCAAGUGCGG
rnacentral:lncRNA from 10 species